CAGAAGAGCAUAGCGGUAGAAGACAGCUAGAGAUGCAACAUUGCGACGGUGAGAGAGAGGCUCAAGAUAGUCAGUUAAAGGAGAGGAGUUGAUGAGACGAAAAGCUUUUGAUUCCUCCCUGUCUAGAAGAGCAGUAUGAGUGGAAUCCCUCCAGACAUGUGAAGCAUACUUCAUACAUGGACGGAUAAGGCCCUUUAACAGAGUUAGCAGCUGGGGGGGGGGUGAGAAAAACUGACAGAGACGUCUCAGAACUCCUAACUUCAUAGAAGCUGUUUUAGCUUGAGAUGAGAUGUGAAGUUUCCAGUUCAGAUUAUAAGUAAAGGACAGAACGAGGAUGUUCAGUGUAGAAGAGGGGGACAGUUGAGUGUCACUGAAGAAGAGAUAGUUGUCUGGAAGGUUGUUUCGAGUUGAUAGAUGUAGGAAUUGAGUUUUUGAGGCAUUGAACAAUACCAAGUUUGCUUUGCCCCAAUCAGAAAUUUUAGAAAGAUCAGAAAUCAAGCGUUCUGUGGCUUCCCUGCGUGAAAUGUUUACCUCCUGAGGUUAGGUUUUAUUAGCUAAGGUGAAGACGUUAGGAGAGGUUAGAUGAGGUUAAGUGUGGUUAGAUGAGGUUAGGUGAUGUUAAGUGAAGUUAGAUUUCAUUAUGUGAGGUUAGAUAAGAUUUGGUGGGUUAGGUGAUUUUAGAUGAGGUUAUUUGUGUUUAGGUAAAGGUAUGUGUGUUUAACCAAGGUUAGAAAAGUUUAUGUGAUGUUAGGUGAGGUUAGGUGUGGAUAAGUGUAGUUAAGAGAAGUUAGGUUAGCCUAGGUGUGGUUAAGUGAGGUUAGUUGAGAUAAGGUGUUGUUACUAGAGGUCAGAUUAUUUUACGUGAGCUUUUGUGUCGUUAUUUGAGUUUAUGUGAGAUUAGGUGUGGUUAGAUGAGGUUAUUUGAGAUUAGGUGAGGUUAAGUGAGGUUAAGUGUGGAUAGGCUUAGUGAGGUUAAGUGUGGAUAGGCUUAGUGAGGUUAAGUGUGGUAAGUUUUAGUGAGAUUAGGUGAUUGUGGGAGACAUUUGAUUAGGAUAAGUGACGUUAGGUAAGGCUAGGGGAGAUUAGAUGUUUUAGGUGUGGUAAGGUGAGGUUAGGUGAGGAUAGGUGAAAUUAGUUGUAUUUAUAUUAAGUUAGGUGUGCUUAAGUGAGGUUAGAUAAGGUUAGUUGUGAUUAGUUAAGAUUAAAUGAGGUUGGAUGCGCUUAGGUUAGGUAAAACAAAGUUAGGAGAGGUUAGGUGAGGUUAGGUGUGCUUAGAGAAGAUUAAAAGAGGUUAUCUGAAGUUAGGUGUGCUUAGUAGAGGUUAGGUGAUUUAAGGUGAGAUCAGGUUUGCUUAGGUGAGGUUUUGUGACAUUACAACUGUUUAAGCUAGGUUAAGUAGCUAUAGGUGAGGUCAGGUGUGAUUAGAUGUACAUAGGUGAGGUUAUUUGAGUUUAAAUGAAGUUAAGUGUGGUUAGGAAAAGAUAGCUAAGGUUAGAUAAGGUUAGGUGUGGUUAGAUGAGAUUAGGUGUGGUUUCUUGUGGUUAGGAAAGGUUAGGUAAGAUUAGGUGAGUUUAGGCGCAGUUAGAUGAGGUUAGGUGAGGUUAGGUGUGGUUAGAUGAGGAUAUGUGAAGUUAGGUGAUAUUAGCUGAGGUUAUGUAUGAUUAGGUGAGGUUAGGUGUGUUUAGGUAAUUUUAAGUGAUAUUAGGUAUAGUAUCAUGAGUAUGAUAUUUAUGAAAUUAUGCUUCUUGUAAGGCUUGAUCCCCAUGCAUGUAGUUCGUCAUUUGCUCGUUUGCAGGCGUGGAAGCGUCUUUGUGAUGGCUGUCAGGCAGACCUGAGCCAGUUCUGCCGCUCUACACUCCGUGGAUCGUUCAUCCUACUACUGUUUUAUGUCAUGUGACUACGUCUCUUGAACGCUUGGAUUUGGUGGAGCAAGGUGGCCAGGGUGUGGGGCCAGUGCAAGUGAUCUCAGGACUGCUUUGGGCUCCAUAGGACCAGUGAUGAGUGCCGAUGUAAAGGACUGGCUUGUGAGAAAUCCUGAGCCUCCUGUAAGAUCAAGACCAAGAUCAAGAUAGGGCCUUCCGUAGGUCCGCUUUCUGAAGCACAGUGUCAACAUGUCUCCUCUAAUUUAAAAAUUCUGAAGCACAUCCCUUUUUUUUCAAUUCCCUCAACGAUGACAGUAAUGCCUGACAGUUUUAAGCGCAGUGCAUCCCAUCAGUGGCAUUGGUGCAGUCACCCCUUCCGUCAACGCAGUCUUCGAGGAGAUCAACGCAGUGACGGUGACUAAAGCAAACUUACAAAGUCUUGUUCACAUUUUUUUUAUAUUGCAUUUUUCUAUUGCAUUUAAUCGUGGCACGCCUCAGGAUGGAGUGCACCCUCCCUGCACAUAUGCUGCCAUGCAUAGCCGCCUCCUCCUCUCCAUGAAGCACCUCCUGCACCGCUGGCC